GACGAACGCUGGCGGCGUGCUUAACACAUGCAAGUCGAACGGAAAGGCCCUGCUUUUGUGGGGUGCUCGAGUGGCGAACGGGUGAGUAACACGUGAGUAACCUGCCCUUGACUUUGGGAUAACUUCAGGAAACUGGGGCUAAUACCGGAUAGGAGCUCCUGCUGCAUGGUGGGGGUUGGAAAGUUUCGGCGGUUGGGGAUGGACUCGCGGCUUAUCAGCUUGUUGGUGGGGUAGUGGCUUACCAAGGCUUUGACGGGUAGCCGGCCUGAGAGGGUGACCGGCAAAAUGGGGCGUAGGAAACGGCCCAGACCCCAACGGGGGGCAGGAGGGGGGAAUAUUGCAAAAGGGGGGGAAGCCGGAUGCAGCAACCCCGGGGGGGGGAUGACGGCCUUCGGGUGGUAAACCGCUUUCGCCUGGGACGAAGCGGGGGUGACGGGAAUGGGGAAAGAAGCACCGGCUAACUACGU
rnacentral:rRNA from 1 species